UCAUUGAGAAGCUAGAUAGCAUUAACCUUUUAAGUUAAAGACUGAGAGUGUAAACCUCUCCUCAAUGGC
rnacentral:tRNA from 1 species